rnacentral:rRNA from 1 species
CAGCCGCCACGGGAUACAGAGGGUGCAAGCGUUAAUCGGAAUUACUGGGCGUAAAGCGCGCGUAGGUGGUUUGUUAAGUUGGAUGUGAAAUCCCCGGGCUCAACCUGGGAACUGCAUCCAAAACUGUCAAGCUAGAGUAUGGUAGAGGGUGGUGGAAUUUCCUGUGUAGCGGUGAAAUGCGUAGAUAUAGGAAGGAACACCAGUGGCGAAGGCGACCACCUGGACUGAUACUGACACUGAGGUGCGAAAGCGUGGGGAGCAAACAGGAUUAGAUACCCCGGUAGUCCCUGUCUCUUAUACA